rnacentral:rRNA from 1 species
GGGUCCGUAGGUUGGUCGUGCCACCGGUACGUACUGGUCUCACUGAUUCCUCGUUCCUGAAGAACCGUAAUGCCAUUAAUUUGGUGUUGCGGGGAAACAGGACUGUUACUUUGAAAAAAUUAGAGUGUUUAAAGCAAGCUAACGCUUGAAUACAUUAGCAUGGAAUAAUGAAAUAGGACGAUCGAUCCUAUUUUGUUGGUUUCUAUGAUUGACGUA